rnacentral:rRNA from 1 species
GGCGAGUGGCGAACGGGUGAGUAAUGCAUCGGAACGUGCCCAUCGAUGGGGGAUAACUGCGCGAAAGCGUUGCUAAUACCGCAUACGACCUACGGGUGAAAGCAGGGGACCGCAAGGCCUUGCGUCGAUGGAGCGGCCGAUGCCGGAUUAGCUAGUUGGUGAGGUAAAGGCUCACCAAGGCGACGAUCCCGUAGCUGGUCUGAGAGGACGACCAGCCACACUGGGACUGAGACACGGCCCAGACUCCUACGGGAGGCAGCAGUGGGGAAUCUUGGACAAUGGGCGAAAGCCUGAUCCAGCAAUGCCGCGUGUGGGAAGAAGGCCCUCGGGUUGUAAACCACUUUUGGCGGGAAAGAAAUGGUCUGUGCUAAUACCACGGAUUGAUGACGGUACCCGCAGAAUAAGCACCGGCUAACUACGUG